rnacentral:misc_RNA from 1 species
GAUGAAGAACGCAGCGAAAUGCGAUAAGUAAUGUGAAUUGCAGAAUUCAGUGAUUCAUCGAAUCUUUGAACGCACAUUGCGCCCGCCAGUAUUCUGGCGGGCAUGCCUGUUCGAGCGUCAUUACAACCCUCAGGCCCCCGGGCCUGGCGUUGGGGAUCGGCGGAAGCCCCCUGCGGGCACAACGCCGUCCCCCAAAUACAGUGGCGGUCCCGCCGCAGCUUCCAUUGCGUAGUAGCUAACACCUCGCAACUGGAGAGCGGCGCGGCCACGCCGUAAAACACCCAACUUCUGAAUGUUGACCUCGAAUCAGGUAGGAAUACCCGCUGAACUUAAGCAUAUCAAUAAGCGGAGGA